AACGAACGCUGGCGGCAUGCCUAACACAUGCAAGUCGAACGAGACCUUCGGGUCUAGUGGCGCACGGGUGCGUAACGCGUGGGAACCUGCCCUUAGGUUCGGAAUAACUCCCCGAAAGGGGUGCUAAUACCGGAUAAUGUCUUCGGACCAAAGAUUUAUCGCCUUUGGAUGGGCCCGCGUUGGAUUAGCUAGUUGGUAGGGUAAAAGCCUACCAAGGCGACGAUCCAUAGCUGGUCUCAGAGGAUGAUCAGCCACACUGGGACUGAGACGCGGCCCAGACUCCUACGGGAGGCAGCAGUGGGGAAUAUUGGACAAUGGGGGAAAGCCUGAUACAGCCAUACGGCGUGGGUGAAGAAGGCCUUCGGGUGGGAAAGCCCUGUUGUUGGGAAAGAAAAGCAGCAGGUUAACACCCGGCUGUUCUGACGGUACCCAAAGAAUAAGCACCGGCUAACUUCGUG
rnacentral:rRNA from 1 species